rnacentral:misc_RNA from 1 species
UACAGAGGGUGCAAACGUUGCUCGGAAUGAUUGGGCGUAAAGCGCGUGUAGGCGGCCUAUUAAGUCGGUUGUGAAAGCCCAUGGCUCAACCAUGGAAGUGCGACCGAUACUGGUAGGCUAGAGUUCUGAAGAGGAUGGCGGAAUUCCCAGUGUAGAGGUGAAAUUCGUAGAUAUUGGGAGGAACAUCGGAGGCGAAGGCGGCCAUCUGGGAAGAUACUGACGCUGAGACGCGAAAGCGUGGGGAGCAAACAGG